rnacentral:rRNA from 1 species
AUUGAACGCUGGCGGCAUGCCUUACACAUGCAAGUCGAACGGCAGCACGGGAGCAAUCCUGGUGGCGAGUGGCGAACGGGUGAGUAAUACAUCGGAACGUGCCCAGUAGUGGGGGAUAACCCGGCGAAAGCCGGACUAAUACCGCAUACGACCUACGGGUGAAAGCAGGGGAUCGCAAGACCUUGCGCUAUCGGAGCGGCCGAUGUCAGAUUAGCUAGUUGGUGGGGUAAAAGCCUACCAAGGCGACGAUCUGUAGCUGGUCUGAGAGGACGACCAGCCACACUGGGACUGAGACACGGCCCAGACUCCUACGGGAGGCAGCAGUGGGGAAUUUUGGACAAUGGGCGCAAGCCUGAUCCAGCCAUGCCGCGUGCGGGAAGAAGGCCU